UGCAUGUGUGUGUGCACAUGCAUGUAUGCAUACACACACACACACACACACACACACACACACACACA
rnacentral:miRNA from 1 species